rnacentral:tRNA from 1 species
AGGGGUUUAGGCUAACACAGACCAAGGGCCUUCAAAGCCCUAAGUGGGGAUGAAAAUUCCCCAACCCCUG